AAAGUCGUAACAAGGUUUCCGUAGGUGAACCUGCGGAAGGAUCAUUAAUAAAAACGUCCCAUAAAUUUUUCCAUUUCUCCUCCCCUCUUUUCCUUUCUCCGUGCUGUCCAAUCCCGGCUCGCCUCUCUUGGACGGUGAGUUGGGCGUGUGGGUGGCUUCGGGGAGGGGAUCGGUGUGGCGAGGGGGAUCAUCAACUUUGCCUCUUUCAUACUUGUGGGAAACGUUUGGAAGGCGCUGGGAGUAGUAAUGCCAUGCUGGCUAACCCCAUGGGUCGGUCAGCGUGUGUGUGAACCCGACGGCACCCCCGCUGUUUCCUAUGUAGGGGGAAGAGGUAGUGUGAUAUCUACUUUUACGAGACCUAAUAGUUUGGAGACCAGCACAAAACAAUAAAACAUAUAAAAACUUUCAACAACGGAUCUCUUGGUUCUC
rnacentral:misc_RNA from 1 species